rnacentral:rRNA from 1 species
AAAAUCGGAGGCCCCGGCUUGUUUACUAAAAACCCAAUUCAGAGCAAUGAUUAAGAUCAUAGUAUUCUGGAUGAAAUUUGCUCAAUGCCAUUAAUAUAAGAGAGGUAAUGGGUAACUGUUACUAAUCGAAAGUCUGGUCAAUAGCGGUCUUAACUAUGAGGAUCCAAAGGUAGCAAAAUCAGUUGGCCAUUAAAUGUGGUCUGGUAUCAAUAGUAGACCAAAUGCGUUAUGCUAUUGUAAAAGAAUCCUAUAUGUUAGAAAUACUCUCCUUCCCUUGCGGACCUAGGUAAAAUUUAUAAACACUUAUAAUUAAAGUAAAAAUUUUAUAAAUAGUAGAACUAACAGCAAUUAAUUAAUGUUUUAAUUUUACAUUUCUAUUUAAUAUAUUUUAUAUUAUCUAGUACCCUCGUUAUCUCAUUUAACAAAUACGGACUUUUAACAAAGACAAAAUACUACGUCGAUCCGUAUUUGUGUGCCUAAUUAAAUUAAAUCAAUUUAAGCAGAAAAAAUAUUGCUUAGAGACUAUACGGAUUCAACUAAUUAUAUUUAAUUAGUUAAGAUAUAGUCCAAAUUAUCUAUUACUAAAAUAAAAAGUGAGACCUAAUUUGUAAUAGAAUAAUCGGUAACGAUGGUCUCACUGCU